UAUUCUGAACACAUAACAGAGUUUAUUUAAGGUUUUGAUAAUUAACUGCACAAACAGGAAAACUCUGGCGCUUCUAAAGGGAACUCCACCCAAGCCCAGCUCCAGCAGGAAAUACCAAAAGCUGCCCCUCUGUAGUUUGGGUCAUGGCACUCUUGCAUGAAGGAAAGGAGUAACAACUAAACCGGAGAUUUUUACUUCAGUGAUGGUUGAAGCGGCACAUUCCACAA
rnacentral:lncRNA from 10 species